rnacentral:rRNA from 1 species
GCUUACGGCCACACCGCCUGGUUCACGCCCCGAUCUCGUUUGAUCUCGGAAGCUAAGAUAGGUUGGGCCUGGUUAGUACUUGGAUGGGAGACCGCCUAGGAAUACCAGGUGCUGUAAACC